GUCGCGGUGACGGAGAGUACAGCGCAGCCAGAGUGUUAGAAAGGUGACGGAGUAGAUGGUGUCUCACUCUGUUGCCUGGGCUGGAGUGCAGUGGUGUGAUCUCGGCUCACUGCAACCUCUUUCAAUGCUUUGGUGCCUGUCUAACAGGAAGUUCUGCCUCUUGUCUGAUCUCAGCCUGACAUGCUGCACUUUUUUGGAUGGGGUCUUACUAUGUUGCCG
rnacentral:lncRNA from 1 species